CUAUUAAAAUCUUGAGGUGGCUAGCCGUUAUUAAGUCAAUGCAAGUAGAACUAAAGUUUGAUAGUACGUAUUUCAUUAUUCCUGCUGAUCAUUUGCACGCUACUUACGUUGCGACGAGUAAUAAUUUACACAGUGAUAAAGCGUUUGUUCCUUACGAAAACAACAAUUUCAAAGUUUUGACAAAUGUUAUGCGCACAAGGGACACAAUUUUUAAUUUUGUUAAAAAUUAUCAUCGCAGCUUCAUCUGGUGUUUUAUUCUGAUGUAAUCGGUUUUUAUUGCAACGCUCAUAAAUAUACAUAUACGGAUACAAAGUUCCAUCAAGCAUAAAUUAAAGAAUCACGUGUGUACUGAUUUUUUUUUCAACGAGACUUUAUAACCUGGCAUUAAUUUUUUGUUAUCGACACUUGAACCUUGUAUUGCAUGCAAUUGUAGGUAUACCAUGAUUUUAGUCUGUACCUUCGAUACGCGGAUACAUGGAACGCAUGCUCGCACUUAGAAUUUCACACAAUCAAGUAGAUUUCAAUGAACAAUGCAUGUAUUUUAAUCGAUAGUAAUUGUUAUCGCGUUAUUGGUCUUGAUCAGCUCAAAGAUUGCAGGUAUCGUUAUGUUCCAUUCGCUUGUUUUGUAGAAGCGUUCUUUUUUUUCUUUCUUUAUCGUAUCAGUAACUAACGCGAAUCUUUUUUCUUUUUCAUGAAAGGUUUUCCCGGGUGAAUAUGUUUUUAUGCGCGCAUUUAACGGCGACGUCUAAAUUUAGACAAUUGGUGAUAAACAUUUAAAGUAUCGAUUGUUUGUCGAGCGAAAUAUCGCCAGAGACAAACGCUCAAUCUUCUUUUGCCCGCGCGAUGUAUCAAAACGCAAAAUGCAAAAAUCUGUGAUCAGUGAUGUGUGAACUUCGAACGAAACAGGACGAAGGCGGUGUACGAUUCGCAGCUCCGAUGGAAAAGGAUAGACGAUUCGAAAGACGUAUCUCGAGCCAGCGAAUUUAAUACGAUGACACGAUUAUAAUCGCUCGAAAACGAUUAAAACCGCAAUCCCCAAGAAAUGGCGAAGCAAAUAUCAUUUUAUUCCACUCUGACGUCGGAAGAAAUGAGUAGAAUGCAACCUUGUAUGAAAGCUAGGUGUGUCAUAAUGACCAGUGAAUCUCCAUCGCCGUUGCAGACCUCUGUGCCACUGGUAGACUACGACGUAACAGAUGAUGCUCGUUCUGGUAAAAUCACACCGACCGCACCUACUAUUCCGGUGAUGAGCAAACUUUUAAACAGUGGUACCACCGACACGGAGACGAUCGAAAAUGCAGUGCCGAUCGCGCAGACCGUUCUACCGGUACCCGAGCCGCGACCGAAAAUCGAAAGGAACGGAAUCGAUUCGGAAACGAAAAAGUCGGUCACUCAACCCAACGACGACUCCUGUGUCGUGGAUUGUAUAUACUUCACGCAGCAGUGCUGCGAAUGCAUGAUACUUUAACGGUCAAACUCACCGCGUGCGGAAUGAUCAAUCUCCUACGCACGAUCUCGGUUGAUCGUUGUGCUUUUAUGUAAUACUGGAUAUGGGAAACGAUCGACGUAAUAUCAUUUUUUGAACAAAAUAGUAGAGUAGAAAGAUGGAAGAAAGACUAACAACCAUCCACUAAAAAUAUCGAAUCUCAUUCAAUGAAGAGCUCUGUAUGAUAAUUUGUCAUGCAUUCCUACUUUUAAAUAGUGAUACUAAACUAGUUCUUAAGUGCUUGUACGCAUUAUACCAAACAAAUCAUUGAAAGUCGUAGUUUAUAUAAAAUUGCUUUUUAAUGCAUCUUGAUACUUUGUUCUUAAGUAAAAGCUAUGCAAUGCA